CGAGUGAGAACCUGAGCGGGAACUUUCUGUAUGAAGAUUUAGAAAGUGAGGUUCAGAGAAUUCCAAGAUCACCUGGAGCCUAAAGGGGGAAUUUCAGAAAAUUGUACCAAAUAUGAAUCUUAAGAAAUAAACAUUUGAAUCCAGUGUGUGGUUGAAAGGAACCCUGGAGGAGAGGUGGUGGCAGCUGGAAAGAAAAGACCAUGCCCCCUGGGUCUGUAGGAAGAACGCUGCAGGGACCCCCAGAGAGAGCUAAAGGGAGCCUGGACGAACGCCAAUGGUCUGUCUGCAGUACCGGGGGCUGAGGACUACUGAGAUUAGGCUCAGGACACAACUUCCUCACGCUGAUGCUGAGACCACAAGAUGGCCAUGGCGUCUUCUUGAGAAUUGGAUAACAAUCUAAGGCACCCCUCUCAAGGACGUUUUCCUAACCACCGCAUCUUCCCACCAAACACACGUCCUGGGCCAAUCCUGAAGGCGACUGUUUACCGGGCACCACCACGCUUCCAGAAGAGACAUCCUGGCUGCUGCAGGUCUGCCGCUUCCCUGCCGAGGCAGAGCCUGCCUUCCUGAGUUUCUUUGCCAAAUCCACGUGUCCCCAAAUGGUCCUUCUCACAGAGAAGUCCGAUCGGCAAGCCUUACAACAUCUUCAUUGCUUUAAAAGAAUGGAAGAAACGUGUGCUUCUAAUUACCACAUUUACAGCUCCUUUCUCUCUCUCUCUCUCUCUCUCUCUCUCUCAAUCCUAUAGAAAACAGACCCAGCUCCUUUUGAAAACUUGCAAAUAUUUCACAUUUGUUUGGAGAGCAGAUUUUUUUUCCAGGUUUUUGGAAAGCUGAAGUCACCGACACAUGGCUGCUGGGUGAUAUUGUUGCUGAGUGCAAACAUCACUUGUUCCUAGCACAGCCAAACCUGCCUUUUCAGCCAUGCCAGUGCCUGGGAGGUGUAAGCCUAAUGUGGAACAGUCCCAGGGCUUGUGGGAGUGGUAUUCUUCUGUCUGCAGUGACCUCAAAGAGAACUGAGCAAGGUAUAUAGUGCUUUGUCUUGAGUCUUGCCCCCACCCCAGUUUUGUCUCAGGCAUCAGUUGAUUCUAGUUCAGAGCUCUACGUAGCAUGGGACUAAAAAAACACCUUGUGACCCUUUGGGAAUAAAAGUGGAAUGGCAUAGAUCCUGGGAUAUUAGGCCUCUGGUCUGAUUCUGUGUCCAUGCUGAGUCUGGUCCCAUUUGGCUCCCAUUCAUUAGAUUCUUUUCUAUAGAGAGCACAGAUAAAGCAAGAUCUAGUCUGGGGUAACUGGCUACUGAGGACAGGUGCUUUGGUACCCUGUUCAUUAUUGUGAUCACCUUGGUCCCCAGGUCCAGUCUUCAUCUGUGCAUGUUCAUGAUGAUCAAGUGUCACGGGGAUUGCAUGACUAGUUAAUAUGGACACUAGAAUGUUAGCACUAGAAGGAACCUCUUACAUCACAGAGGGGAGUGUAAGGCUCAGCCAAGAGAAGUGACUUUCUCAAGGUCACACACUAGUUAGUGCCAGAGAUAAGAUGAGAAUCCAGAAAUCCUAACUCCCAAAUCAGUGUUCUUUCUAUCGCCUUUUGCUGUCAAAACUCAUCACGUAUGAGUUGAUCAGCAUAUUUAUUUCCCAGAAGAGAAGGCUACUUGGGGACCUAACAUUAUUAAUAGAGUGUUAUUUGGUAUAUACAGAAGACUAGUCCAGGGUUCGUGCUGGAAAUAAAUGGAUGAAGCCAGGAGUCAGGGAUACAAAAAGCCAUGCUGAGAAAGCCACCCACGGAGAUGCGUGUUCCCAUGUUGGGCCCAGAGAAGACCGAGGCAGCCAGGAAACUUUUUGGAACUGUAAUGGAUAGUCAAGGAAGAAGCAGGGCCCUGAGAUGAACCUAAGUCCCUGAGUUAGAAGUGGAAUUAUUCUGAGAAAGAAGAGAGAAACCAACAGAGGGAAAAGUUAAUCCCUUCUUAACUGCUCUUUGUUCCUGUACACACGCUGAAGCAAGUAGGAGGAAUUUCCAGCCCAGCACCCCCAGUGAGAAAAGUCUGAUCACUUGAUUCAUUUAACCUACAGCUAGUCCAAGAGGGGAGAGCUGCAGGGACUUAAAGGGACACAGCCAUUUUAUGGGGAGAAACCCGCUGUGAAAUGAAGUUUCAGUCGUGUUUGUUCCCAGGUCAGUCUGGUGGCCACAGC